rnacentral:rRNA from 1 species
UGCAAGUCGAGCGGUAGAGAGAAGCUUGCUUCUCUUGAGAGCGGCGGACGGGUGAGUAAUGCCUAGGAAUCUGCCUGGUAGUGGGGGAUAACGUUCGGAAACGGACGCUAAUACCGCAUACGUCCUACGGGAGAAAGCAGGGGACCUUCGGGCCUUGCGCUAUCAGAUGAGCCUAGGUCGGAUUAGCUAGUUGGUGAGGUAAUGGCUCACCAAGGCGACGAUCCGUAACUGGUCUGAGAGGAUGAUCAGUCACACUGGAACUGAGACACGGUCCAGACUCCUACGGGAGGCAGCAGUGGGGAAUAUUGGACAAUGGGCGAAAGCCUGAUCCAGCCAUGCCGCGUGUGUGAAGAAGGUCUUCGGAUUGUAAAGCACUUUAAGUUGGGAGGAAGGGUUGUAGAUUAAUACUCUGCAAUUUUGACGUUACCGACAGAAUAAGCACCGGCUAACUCUGUGCCAGCAGCCGCGGUAAUACAGAGGGUGCAAGCGUUAAUCGGAAUUACUGGGCGUAAAGCGCGCGUAGGUGGUUUGUUAAGUUGGAUGUGAAAUCCCCGGGCUCAACCUGGGAACUGCAUUCAAAACUGACUGACUAGAGUAUGGUAGAGGGUGGUGGAAUUUCCUGUGUAGCGGUGAAAUGCGUAGAUAUAGGAAGGAACACCAGUGGCGAAGGCGACCACCUGGACUAAUACUGACACUGAGGUGCGAAAGCGUGGGGAGCAAACAGGAUUAGAUACCCUGGUAGUCCACGCCGUAAACGAUGUCAACUAGCCGUUGGAAGCCUUGAGCUUUUAGUGGCGCAGCUAACGCAUUAAGUUGACCGCCUGGGGAGUACGGCCGCAAGGUUAAAACUCAAAUGAAUUGACGGGGGCC